rnacentral:rRNA from 1 species
AGAGUUUGAUCAUGGCUCAGGACGAACGCUGGCGGCGUGCUUAACACAUGCAAGUCGAACGGAAAGGCCCUUCGGGGUACUCGAGUGGCGAACGGGUGAGUAACACGUGGGUGAUCUGCCCUGCACUCUGGGAUAAGCCUGGGAAACUGGGUCUAAUACCGGAUAGGACCGCAUGCUUCAUGGUGUGUGGUGCAAAGCUUUUGCGGUGUGGGAUGAGCCCGCGGCCUAUCAGCUUGUUGGUGGGGUAAUGGCCUACCAAGGCGACGACGGGUAGCCGGCCUGAGAGGGUGACCGGCCACACUGGGACUGAGAUACGGCCCAGACUCCUACGGGAGGCAGCAGUGGGGAAUAUUGCACAAUGGGCGCAAGCCUGAUGCAGCGACGCCGCGUGAGGGAUGACGGCCUUCGGGUUGUAAACCUCUUUCAGUAGGGACGAAGCGAAAGUGACGGUACCUACAGAAGAAGGACCGGCCAACUACGUGCCAGCAGCCGCGGUAAUACGUAGGGUCCGGGCGUUGUCCGGAAUUACUGGGCGUAAAGAGCUCGUAGGUGGUUUGUCGCGUUGUUCGUGAAAACUCACAGCUUAACUGUGGGCGUGCGGGCGAUACGGGCAGACUAGAGUACUGCAGGGGAGACCGGAAUUCCUGGUGUAGCGGUGGAAUGCGCAGAUAUCAGGAGGAACACCGGUGGCGAAGGCGGGUCUCUGGGCAGUAACUGACGCUGAGGAGCGAAAGCGUGGGUAGCGAACAGGAUUAGAUACCCCGGUAGUCCAA